rnacentral:rRNA from 1 species
CCUACGGGAGGCAGCAGUGGGGAAUAUUGCGCAAUGGGCGACAGCCUGACGCAGCGACGCCGUGUGCGGGAUGAAGGUCUUCGGAUCGUAAACCUCUGUCAGCAGGGAAGAACGGUCACUGUACUAAUCAGCAGUGAAUUGACGGUACCUGCAAAGGAAGCACCGGCUAACUCCGUGCCAGCAGCCGCGGUAAUACGGAGGGUGCGGGCGUUAAUCGGAAUUACUGGGCGUAAAGCGCUCGUAGGCGGUAGGUGAAGUUAAGGGGGAAAUCCCCGCGCUCAACGUGGGAACGGCCUGUGAAACCGGCAAACUGGAGUGUGUGAGAGGAUAGUGGAAUUCCAGGUGUAGGAGUG